rnacentral:rRNA from 1 species
UACAGAGGUCCCAAGCGUUGUUCGGAUUCACUGGGCGUAAAGGGUGCGUAGGUGGUGGGGUAAGUCGGAUGUGAAAUCUCCGAGCUCAACUCGGAAAUGGCAUUGGAAACUACCCUGCUAGAGGGUCGGAGGGGGGACUGGAAUGCUUGGUGUAGCAGUGAAAUGCGUAGAUAUCAAGCGGAACACCAGUGCGAAGGCGAGUCCCUGGACGACUCCUGACACUGAGGCACGAAAGCUAGGGGAGCAAACAGGAUAGAAACCCCGGU